CUUUCUAUGCAGGUUGGGAUCAGUUGCAAUGCUUUGUUUGUCUACAGUAUUGCGCUUGUUCCGGCCUGUUGAG
rnacentral:pre_miRNA from 1 species